GGAAAUUCCUCAACAUGAUAACUCAUACACUGAGCUAUCAAUUUGUCAACGACAAGGCUCAUUCUCCUUGACACUCACAUCUUACAGGCUCGAGUUCUAUGACCGAGUCAGCGAGCUCUUCCUCCUCUUCGCCGCCCAACUUCAUGCUUAGUCACUCAACGGCUUGAAAUUCGGCCGGAAAAUCUACUUUGAGGAUGGGGGUUUGGGAGCUCUGCACAAAUCAUCAUCCGGGUCUGCUGCUGGGUCUUCCUCCGCCGGGGCAACGCCGCCCAAGAAGCAAGGGGCGGCGGAAAUUUGGGUCAGCCGCCGCGGUGUCAGGUGGAGGGCUGCGAGGUAGAUCUGAGUGGUGCCCAAGCUUACCAUUCCAGGCACAAAGUCUGUGGCUUGCACUCUAAAACCCCCACUGUCAUUGUUGCUGGUCUUGAACAGAGGUUUUGCCAACAGUGUAGCAGAAUCAGGAGCUACUGACCAUAAACAGAAUCAGGAGGGAGACUCAAGGUUAUAACACAUAAAAGAGAUCAUCCCAUGGAAAUUUGCUCCACAACCUAAUAAUGGCCAAGCAAGCUCACAGGACAGAGAGCUUUUGAGGUGGUCUACUCGUUCAGUAGAUGCUUCCAAGGUUAUGGAUUUGAUGAGGAUGUGAUUUCAAUGAACAAGUUGCUUUUCCAGCAAGGAAGUGAUGAUCGGUUCAGGGAAGUAGGCAUUGUUGGUGAUGAUAGUAUAGGAAAAACAACACUUUUCCAGCUCUUAUUCGACAAACAAGAAGUGAAAAACACAUUCCUCCCAACAGGUGUUUCUUUUAUUGUUGAUCUGCAUUGUUUUUCUUCUAAAACUUCGAUGAAACAACCAUAUUGUUAAAUGAGUUUGUGAGAUUUGGAGCAUGUAAUAACUAUAGCUAACGGUUCUGAAACAAUAAACUUUGUAUGCUUUUUAUA